rnacentral:tRNA from 1 species
UAGAGUUUGGUGUAGUUGGAAGCACGAAGAAUUUUGGGUUCUUAGGAGUAGGUUCAAUUCCUAUAGUUCUAG